UUUUGUGAUUAUAAUAAUAAUAUUAAAGCAAACAUAACUAAGGAUCAGUCCGUAAAUAGGCACUUGAAGGACCUGAUCCUUAGCUGAUCCUUAGUGCAGGUGGCAUGUUGCUAUUGGUGGAGAGAGUAUUGGUCUGAUGAAAGGAACAAAGCCGAACUCGAUGUCGAGGAGAUGAAGAUCGUCUGGGUUCUCGCCACGCUUUUGAGUUUCCGAUCGAAUCGUCCGCCUCGUCGCCUCCGAUCCGGUGAGUCUUCUUCUCCAUCAUCCGGUGUGGAUAUGUUGCCUCCGAUCCGAGGAAGAAGCAGGAGUGAUUGAGUAUAAUACUUUGUUAAACUCACUAAAGACUCGACGAGAUUCUUUGGGUUCAAAGCUGAGUGAGCUAUUGGAAGCUAAGGAGGAACUGAAAGAGGAGAAACUGAAGGCGAAGGAAGAAGCGGAAGACCUUACUCAAGAAAUGGCUGAACUAAGGUACAAGAUGACAUGUUUGCUCGACGAGGAACGCAAACGCCGUGUGUGCAUAGAGCAAGCGUCAUUACAGAGAAUUGCAGAACUAGAAGCACAGGCAUAUGCAAUAUUUUGGCCUUGUUUCUUUUUUUUCUUUUUUUAACUGUUCUUUAUUUAUCCUCUGUUGUUAAAGAUUAAGUUUGGCAAAGAGAAAACAAGUUUGGCAAAGAGAGUGUGUAUGUGUAUAUACUCUUUGUUCGUUUUGAUAAAGAGAAAACAAGU